rnacentral:rRNA from 1 species
GGUUAAGCGACUAAGCGUACACGGUGGAUGCCCUGGCAGUCAGAGGCGAUGAAGGGCGUGCUAAUCUGCGAUAAGCGCCGGUAAGGUGAUAUGAACCGUUAUAACCGGCGAUACCCGAAUGGGGAAACCCAGUGUGACUCGUCACACUAUCAUUAACUGAAUCCAUAGGUUAAUGAGGCGAACCGGGGGAACUGAAACAUCUAAGUACCCCGAGGAAAAGAAAUCAACCGAGAUUCCCCCAGUAGCGGCGAGCGAACGGGGAGGAGCCCAGAGCCUGAAUCAGCAUGUGUGUUAGUGGAAGCGUCUGGAAAGGCGCGCGAUACAGGGUGACAGCCCCGUACACAAAAGCGCAUGUGCUGUGAGCUCGAUGAGUAGGGCGGGACACGUGGUAUCCUGUCUGAAUAUGGGGGGACCAUCCUCCAAGGCUAAAUACUCCUGACUGACCGAUAGUGAACCAGUACCGUGAGGGAAAGGCGAAAAGAACCCCGGCGAGGGGAGUGAAAAAGAACCUGAAACCGUGUACGUACAAGCAGUGGGAGCACCCUU